rnacentral:rRNA from 1 species
AUGUCUAAGGCACGCAACGCCUUAGUUGUCACUGGCUUGGUGAUCUUUGCUGGUACCGGCCUAGCAUUUCCCUUCUACUUUGUGAAAUCAAAGAACAGGCCUAUUAUCGAUUCAACGAAGCCUCUGCCACCGCAGGCUACUUUCCGAGGACCGUAUGUGAACACUGGAUCGCGCGACAUAGGGCCUGAUCACACCGAGUACCCCAAGAAGUGA